CACGUAGGGGGCAAGCGUUGUCCGGAUUUAUUGGGCGUAAAGAGCUCGUAGGCGGCUCAGUAAGUCGGGUGUGAAACCUCCAGGCUCAACCUGGAGACGCCACCCGAUACUGCUGUGGCUUGAGUCCGGUAGGGGAGCGUGGAAUUCCUGGUGUAGCGGUGAAAUGCGCAGAUAUCAGGAGGAACACCUAUUGCGAAGGCAGCUCGCUGGGACGUAACUGACGCUGAGACGCGAAAGCGUGGGGAGCAAACAGG
rnacentral:rRNA from 1 species